GCAAGUCGAGCGAGGGGCUUCGGCUCCUAGCGGCGAACGGGUGAGUAACACGUGGGCAACCUGCCCCGAGCUCUGGAAUAACUUCGGGAAACCGGGGCUAAUGCCGGAUAUGACACUGCCGGGCAUCUGGUGGUGUGGAAAGAUUUAUCGGCUCGGGAUGGGCCCGCGGCCUAUCAGCUUGUUGGUGGGGUGAUGGCCUACCAAGGCGACGACGGGUAGCCGGCCUGAGAGGGCGACCGGCCACACUGGGACUGAGACACGGCCCAGACUCCUACGGGAGGCAGCAGUGGGGAAUAUUGCGCAAUGGGCGAAAGCCUGACGCAGCGACGCCCCGUGGGGGAUGACGGCC
rnacentral:rRNA from 1 species